CCUGGCGGCUUUAGCGCGGUGGUCCCACCUGACCCCAUGCCGAACUCAGAAGUGAAACGCCGUAGCGCCGAU
rnacentral:rRNA from 4 species